rnacentral:rRNA from 1 species
GGGGGGGGGGGGGGGGGGGGGGGGCAGGUGCAGGGCGGGGGGGGGCGCAGGGGGAGGGUGGUGGGACGGGGGGGGGGGGGCGGACGGGGGCGGAAUACAGCGGAAGCUACUUUGGGGUGGGGGAGAACGUAGGGAAGCUGACGCUAAUACAGCAUACGAACUACGGGAGAGAGCAGGGGAUCUCGGGACCUUGCGUGAUUGAAGGAGCCGAUGUCGGAUUAGCUAGUUGGCGGGGUCAAGGCCCACCACGGCGACGGUCCGUAGCUGGUCUGAGAGGAUGAUCAGCCACACUGGAACUGAGACACGGUCCAGACUCCUACGGGAGGCAGCAGUGGGGAAUAUUGGACACUGGGCGCAAGCCUGAUCCAGCCAUACCGCGUGGGUGAAGAAGGCCUUCGGGUUGUAAAGCCCUUUUGUUGGGAAAGAAAAGCAGCAGGUUAAUACCCCGCUGUUCUGACGGUACCCAAAGAAUAAGCACCGGCUAACUUCGUG